rnacentral:rRNA from 1 species
UACGGGGGGGGCAAGCGUUGUUCGGAAUUACUGGGCGUAAAGGGCUCGUAGGUGGCCAACUAAGUCAGACGUGAAAUCCCUCGGCUUAACCGGGGAAUUGCGUCUGAUACUGGAUGGCUUGAGUUUGGGAGAGGGACGCGGAAUUCCAGGUGUAGCGGUGAAAUGCGUAGAUAUCUGGAGGAACACCGGUGGCGAAGGCGGCGUCCUGGACCAAUACUGACACUGAGUGAGCGAAAGCCAGGGGAGCAAACGGG